rnacentral:rRNA from 1 species
UACGAAGGGGGCUAGCGUUGCUCGGAAUCACUGGGCGUAAAGCGCACGUAGGCGGAUUGUUAAGUCGGGGGUGAAAUCCUGGAGCUCAACUCCAGAACUGCCUUCGAUACUGGCGAUCUUGAGUCCGGGAGAGGUGAGUGGGAACUCCGAGUGUAGAGGUGAAAUUCGUAGAUAUUCGGAAGAACACCAGUGGCGAAGGCGGCUCACUGGCCCGGGUACUGACGCUGAGGUGCGAAAGCGUGGGGAGCAAACAGG